UGCAGGACAGAGACUCUCUGAUUGAUGCACAAACCAACUCCUAUUUAACAAGUGAAGGGGAAGACAUCACUGUUGUAUGUUUAUUUUCAUCUCCAGGGAGCAGGAGGCUGUUCUGUAAGGAAACAUGUGAAGGAGAAAACAUUCUCAUAGAAACAGACAGAGACGAAGACAAGAGUGGAAGAUACAGCAUUAAAUAUAAAAAGUUAGAUAUUGGAUCAUCUCUUCUAUAUGUGACAAUCACUAAACUCAAACAAUCAGAUUCAGGUUUGUACAGAUGUGGGAUACAUGAAGAAUUGGGUCCAGAUUUAGAAGAAAUAUUCGAAAUAAUUGUUACAGAAGCUUCAAACAGGACUGUUGAACUUCCUGCAACAACACAAACCUCUCCAAUCACGAUGACGACCAAAAAAACGAAAGCAUCAGAAAAGAGUUUAAACUCCACAACAUCCUCACAUCGACACAAAAAUCAAAAUUCAACAACAGGAGUGAGAGCUCUGUCUUUCUCUCCUAUCACCGGUGGGAGCCAUUAGCAGAAUGCUAACACACUACAUCUCCCAGCUCUACUGCUAUGUCUGAGCAUGUUGUGGUCAAAGAGUCUCUUGUAGCACUUUGACCGUAACUUUAUUGACACUCAACAUUCGUCCCCAUUCCGUCCUCUUAAAGUGUCCCCUUCCGGAAGUUCACCACCAUAUUAGCUCCUACACCUCAGUGCAUACUACCUGGAUCCCGUCACCUGAUGCUAAUUGACAAUCACCCACCUGAGA